rnacentral:tRNA from 1 species
AGUCGGUUGCAGUCGGGGCCUCGCGUGGGCUCAUAACCCAAAGGUCGCUGGUUCAAAUCCAGCCCCCGCAACCA